rnacentral:rRNA from 1 species
UACGAAGGGUGCUAGCGUUGCUCGGAAUUACUGGGCGUAAAGCGCGUGUAGGCGGCCAUGCAAGUCGGCUGUGAAAGCCCUCGGCUCAACCGGGGAAGUGCACCCGAAACUGCGUGGCUAGAGUCUCGGAGAGGAUCGUGGAAUUCUCGGUGUAGAGGUGAAAUUCGUAGAUAUCGAGAGGAACACCGGUGGCGAAGGCGGCGAUCUGGACGGUGACUGACGCUGAGACGCGAAAGCGUGGGGAGCAAACAGG